AAAUAUAUAUGUUCAUUAACGAACCAGAAGUUGUCAAAGCGUUCGACUGAGUCAAAUAUUCGUUUCUCAUAGCACCAUAAAAGUGCUAUGUUUUCUAGGUUAAAUUACCUGAGAUAGUUGUAGUUAUGCAUCAAAUCUAUUAUUUUUUAUAAAUAUUGAUCUAGAGAAGCAAAUGAGUCCAACAAAGUAAAAAUGACUCAACUCCAAGCUAAAACGAGCUAAAUUUACCAAACUAAUCAAAAAUACAAAAUAACAACUUUUCCUUUGUCGGCUCUACGUGCAGUGUAAACCCUGGACCUUAGAUACUUGAGUCUUUUAAGAAGUUGGAAGGAUAUGUUUAGGUUGGAAUUAAGAUUGAGAAAGUAACUCAAAGAGGGUAAUUGUAAGUGUGUCAUGGUUGGUGAAAGAAGAAAAGUCAUGUUCAAGGUUGUUAAGAUGUUAAUAUUUAUAGUUGUAUGAUUGAAGGAAGCCAAGUAAUGAAAAGUUUAGGGACCAGCCAUUAGGUUGUGAAAAGAAUUUGGCAAGUGAAAUUUUGUCUUUUAAGUCCAUGAGGUAGGCGAGAUGGGCUUCGUAGGAGGCGAAAAAGAAGGAUGAAAACCCCCCAAAGACAUGACUAGGCGGCUAAGGCAUAUGAUGUGUUCAUUUAGGCGUGAAAACCUCUAAAGAGAGUGUUGGUGAUAUAUAAUUAAAUUUGCUUUCAACCAUUAGCUUAAGCUUUUGGAUGAAUUGGUGGUUUAAUAUGGUAUCAGAGCAGUUUAACUCCCUGCAUUGUCGUUUCCUCCUCAAUUAAAAUCAAUUUCCACUUGUUGGGCCUUUCAAAUAUUUCAAGCUUAUCCUUUUGGAUGAAUGGGUGGUUUAAUAGAGAGUAACUUGUAAAUGCACCUAGGCGAGAAGAAGUUUGGCUUGAAGAGACUGGUAGGCUAAGUGUUGUUGAAAGAAAGGCCUAGGCGUUGAAGCUAGGGCAGGCACAUGUGUGCAAGGAAGGCUUGUGAAUGUUGAAGAAGUUUGGCUUGAAGAGACUGGUAGGCUAAGUGUUGUUGAAAGAAAGGCCUAGGCGUUGAAGCUAGGGCAGGCACAUGUGUGCAAGGAAGGCUUGUGAAUGUUGAGAAUGGCUCUGCUACGUCUUCCUUGUUCUUCAUCUUCAUCUUCCUCGUUCCUUUUCUUUCUCACACCUCUCUGUAGUCCGAAAAUUCCAUUUUAUCCCAUCAAUGGCGACUCCAAACUCUCUAUUUUCCACUUUUCUUUCAACUUCCAUCAACCACAAUCCUUUGUUUUCAACUAGGACUAAUAGAACCAGCAAGUUUGUUUUGCAGUUUGCCACAACCUCCAAUGCCUUCUCUGAUACAAAU
rnacentral:lncRNA from 1 species